rnacentral:rRNA from 1 species
AUGGAUCCCGUGUCGGAUCCGAGUUCCUCCCUCCCUGAGCAACACCGCGCCCACCUGAAUCGCCGAGGACGAGCUCUCUCCUCCUCGUGGCGGUCUCCGGCCAGGGCCUCAUCUGCGCCAUCCGUGGUGCUCCGGCGCCGCCCCACCUCAUGCAGCUCGGUCGCGGCCCCCGUGCAGCUCGGCCGCGGCCCCCAUCUUCGUGCAGGUUUGCCGGCCACCGCUUGCCUCUGCUGGCCUCCCUCGUCGUCAGCCAUGACGCCGCAACCACCGGCCUCGAGCAUCCUCUCCUCCCCAUCGAUUGUUUUUUGCUUUUUUUAUAUUUCACUUGGGCACAUCGCUGCAGUUCUCUUGGGGCAUCAGUGCGUUGCGGCUGGAUGUCCAGUCCACCGGCGGUCGUUGCUUGCAGUCCGGUGGCACGAGGCUCGUGGUCGGAUGUGCAGUGCAGUGCUAUUCGCCCUUCCGCGCUGCAGUUCGCCGGCAGAUGUGUUGACCAUCCAAGAUCAACUGCACCCCUCCCCCCACCGGCGCCAUGCAGUCCAGUACGUGGGGGCACGCAGCACGCCCCACCGGCGCCGUGCAGUCCAAAGUGUGUGUGCAAGCAGCACGCCACCCAUUCCCAAGCCCAUCUCUCUCCCUCCUCACACACGCUCCAAGCGCUCUCUAGCUCACCAAGCUGCGGGAGGCCUUCGCCGGCCUCGGCCAGAUCAGCGACAAGGAGAAGUCCGGAUUCAUCAGCCUCGUCUCCCGCUACCUCAGGUAAUUUCUUUGUGCUGCAUCAGAGACGGUUCUGCUCCCGUUCAUCAUCCAUGGUGUCGAUGUUGUCAGUGUAAUCUCGCGACGGAUGGGUUCUUUUCAUCCUCUCCAGCUAGUUCUACGAUGAGCAGCUGCUAUCGCUCACUUUCCUCCCCCACAAUGCAGUGUGGCAGGGCGGCGCUUGCAGUGCGGCACUCACGGCUGAGCAGCGAACCCACUGAACCUAUCGAGUAG